GGGGGGGGGGGGGGGGGGGGGGGGGGGGGGGGGGGGGGGGGGGGGGGGGGGGGGGGGGGGUAGUGUGAGGGUUAGGGUGAGGAUGAGGGUUAGGGGUAGGGUUAGGGUUUAGGGUUAGGGUUAGGGUUAGGGUUAGGGUUAGGGUUAGGGUUAGGGUCACGGUUAGGGUUAGGGUUAAGGUUAGGCUUAGGGUUAGGGUUAGCGUUAGGGUUAGGGUUAGGGUUAGGGUUAGGGUUAGGGUUAGGGUUAGGGUUAGGAUUAGGGUUAGGGUUAGGGUUAGGGUUAGGGUUAGGGGGGGGGGGGGGGGGGGGGGGGGGGGGGGGGGGGGGGGGGGGGGGGGGGGGGGGGGGGGGGGGGGGGGGGGGGGGGGGGGGGGGGGGGGGGGGGGGGGGGGGGGGGGGGGGGGGGGGGGGGGGGGGGGGGGGGGUGGGUAAUGGUUAGGGCGAUGGUGAGGGUG
rnacentral:lncRNA from 12 species